GACGUAGGUGGCGAGCGUUAUCCGGAAUCAUUGGGCGUAAAGGGUGCGUAGAUGGCAUGAUAAGUUAUUAGUGGGAAAUCGAGGCUCAACCUCGUGGAAGCUGGUAAUACUGUUUUGCUUGAGUGCAGGAGAGGUUAACGGAACUCCAUGUGGAGCGGUAAAAUGCAUAGAUAUAUGGAAGAACAUCAAUAACGGCGAAGGCAGUUAACUAUUCUGCUACUGACAUUGAGGCACGAAAGCGUGGGGAGCAAAACGG
rnacentral:rRNA from 1 species